AUGUUUCUUCUGAAGAAAUGAAGAAGAAGAAAUAAAAGUUGUAAAAAGGUUAAAAUUGGAAUUCAACUAAAUCGGGGUUUGUUUUGAACUUGCAUUUUACCCCUUAAGGGUGUUUGUACACGGACCACCAAUACCGAAGUCAGGAUCAAGGGUUUUGUCGACGACCAACAUAAAAAGAUGGUGAACUCUACCGCUCAAUUUGGGGAAUCAGAUUGAAUAAAUACGAUUAGAAGUUAACGGCCACAAAAUGUAAGGGGGCUAACUUGUUUUCUAGUUAAUCAGGAGAAAGGGUUUUUUCCACCGGCCAAUAGGAGGGGAGGUUAGCGCAACUCUCGACGUGAUGUGAGAGAUGUGGUUGGGUGUUUAGGUUGUUGAUGUAUUGCAGGCGGACACACUCCAUGGUCCUCAUUGAAUUCUCUCAUAUAAUAUCAUACAUUUUAAAAGCUUCUUGCAGAUAAUCGACAUACAAGGUUACAAGUAAAGCUCUACUGCAUGAAACAACUGUGGGAAACACAUCAAAGCACAACCGAGGUCAUGAGCAGAAGGUGAAGUAUCCAUAGGGUCUAUAAGCCAUCAUCA